AGCGAACGCUGGCGGCAGGCUUAACACAUGCAAGUCGAACGGGCGUAGCAAUACGUCAGUGGCAGACGGGUGAGUAACGCGUGGGAACGUACCUUUUGGUUCGGAACAACCCAGGGAAACUUGGGCUAAUACCGGAUAAGCCCUUACGGGGAAAGAUUAUCGCCGAAAGAUCGGCCCGCGUCUGAUUAGCUAGUUGGUGAGGUAACGGCUCACCAAGGCGACGAUCAGUAGCUGGUCUGAGAGGAUGACCAGCAUCACUGGGACUGAGACACGGCCCAGACUCCUACGGAGGCAGCAGUGGGGAAUAUUGGACAAUGGGCGCAAGCCUGAUCCAGCCAUGCCGCGUGGAUGAUGAAGGCCCUAGGGUUGUAAAG
rnacentral:rRNA from 1 species